AAGUGCGAUAAGUAAUGUGAAUUGCAGAAUUCAGUGAAUCAUCGAAUCUUUGAACGCACCUUGCGCUCCUUGGUAUUCCUUGGAGCAUGCCUGUUUGAGUAUCAUGAAAUCUUCAAAGUAAAUCUUUUGUUAACUCAAUUGGUUUCUACUUUGGUAUUGGAGGUCUUUGCAGCUUCACACCUGCUCCUCUUUGUUCAUUAGCUGGAUCUCAGUGUUAUGCUUGGUUCCACUCGGCGUGAUAAGUUAUCUAUCGCUGAGGACACUGUAAAAGGUGGCCAAGGUAAAUGCAGAUGAACCGCUUCUAAUAGUCCAUUGACUUGGACAAUACUUUUAUGAUCUGAUCUCAAAUCAGGUAGGACUACCCGCUGAACUUAAGC
rnacentral:misc_RNA from 1 species